rnacentral:rRNA from 1 species
UACGUAGGGGGCAAGCGUUGUCCGGAAUCAUUGGGCGUAAAGAGCGUGUAGGCGGCCCGAUAAGUCCGCUGUGAAAGUCCAGGGCUCAACCCUGGGAUGCCGGUGGAUACUGUCGGGCUCGAGUCCGGAAGAGGAGUGUGGAAUUCCUGGUGUAGCGGUGGAAUGCGCAGAUAUCAGGAGGAACACCAAUGGCGAAGGCAGCACUCUGGGACGGUACUGACGCUGAGACGCGAAAGCGUGGGGAGCAAACAGG